AUGUACCCCAAACAUCCCAAAUGCAUGUGUGUGCGUAUACACACACACACACACAAUUUUCCCCGCCAUUUCCAGGAUCCCUUGUGGGAGUUUUCAAGGGCCCAGUUUGGCCACCUUUGUAAUAGAAUUCUUCCCCUGGGCAUGGAAAUAUUGCUGGAGACUCUCUUAAUAAUUUUAACAGGGCUGUGGUACAAAAAGAUGUUUAUUCCACAUGGGGCAAGGCACAGGGGGAAAUGCCUGUUUAAUCGUGGCUUAUAUUUUCUUCCCAGUCGACUUAACUCUACUCUGGAUUUAGCAUGAGGUAGCUGGCACUUUAAGGGGCUAAUUAAGACAGACUAGGGCCCAAGGUGUCCGUUCAGAAAGCAGUGGAGGUAACUUCACCCCUCCAGGGCCACCUCCACCAGCCCUUUCCAACUGGAAGGAGGAACGGACAGAUCAUGAUGAAGAUGGAAAGCAGGGAGCAGGCAUUGGCCACCAUGCACAGAGACCCUGAACCCCACCAGGCCUGAUCUCCCCUCCAAGAGGGAGCUCACAGGUGAACCUUCUUGAGCACCUAUGCUGCCUCUUGCCAAAAAGCACCAAUGCCUUGGUCCUUGUAUUCUCUUGGGAAGGUCUGUAAUUGAACUCCAGAAACAAAUCUGGCUAGAUGGCUCCUCUGCUUAAGACCCUUUGCUGGCCUCCCAUCUUUCUGGGGACAAAUUCAAACCUUGCUAUAGAGAUCUGACCUAUACCUGCCUCUUUAUGAGCCGCCCCUCAUCCCAGACACACACACACCCUUCACCCCCUUCCUGCAGCCAUACAAGCUUCAUUUCUAUGCCUUGGACAUGCCUUCAUUUCUGAGCCCUCACCUACCUCCAGGGAUGUUUUAAGUGGUGAAUCUUUUGCCUGAAAUUCUGUUCUAGCAUGUCCUUCCUGACAUUCAGGUCUCUAUUUCCAAGGCCUCCACCUCAAAGAUGUCUUCCCUUAAGUUCUCUGCCAUGUCAUUCACGUAGGGGAGAGGAAGUGAGAACAAAAGAUAAGAAGCCAAGAGAGGGAUGUAGGUGAGUGAGGAGGGGCUGAGUCUCUCUAAGCCCUGCUGAGAGACAGUGUAGAACAGGCUUCAAAGGAAGGAAAUGGGAACAUUUGCCCACCAACUCCUGUGUGUGCACCAGUAGAGGGCAGCUCAGGACAUUCAUCACAGCAUGGGUGUGCUGGCAGGAUGCACCCCUGUGGCCAGAGAAUAGCCUCAAGCAGAGUCACAGGUAAUCAAGGAGGGAAGUCCUUGGCAUCUGUCAGUGGUGCCAAGGCGAUAUGGGAUGUUGGCAAUGUGGACUAAUAACUAUUUCAUAAUCCUGAGGGAACUAAAUAGAUGGACAGCCUUCCCGAAAUAUGGCUGGUCUGGGACGUGGGCAUCUUGGUUUUGAGUCCCACCUCCUGUUUUAACUCACUGUGCACACAUGAGUGGCACCUUAUCUCUCUGGGGCUGUUUUUUUCUCUCUUUUUUUUUUUUUUUUUUUUUAAAUAAGAGUUGGAAAUGUGAUGUUGGAAGGACUUCAGUUCUUGAGAGGUUAAUCUCUCACAGCCAAUUCCUUUUUUUUUUUUAAUUUUUAUUUAUUUAUGAUAGUCACCCAGAGAGAGAGAGAGAGAGAGGCAGAGACAUAGGCAGAGGGAUAAGCAGGCUCCAUGCAGCGAGCCUGACGUGGGAUUCGACCCCGGGUCUCCAGGAUCGCGCCCUGGGCCAAAGGCAGGCGCCAAACCGCUGCGCCACCCAGGGAUCCCUCUGGGGCUGUUUUUUAACUGUAAAAUGGGGAUAUGGAUCAUAACAGCAUUUCCAAAGUAUGGCAUAUGGAUCAUAGGUGGUACAUAGGUAAGCUUAGGUAAUAAAUGGAUAGAUGUAUUCUAAUUUUUUAAAAGAUUAUGUAUGUGUUUAUUUAUGAGAGACAGAGAGAGCCAGAGACAUAGGCAGAUGGAGAAGCAGGUUCUCUGCAGGGAGCCCAAUGCGGAAUUCAAUCCCAGGACCCCGGAUCACGACCUGAGCCAAAGGUAGAUGCUCAACUACUAAGUCACCCAGGGGCCCAGGUAUAUUCUAAUUUUAAGGACGAUGUAUUUUUUAUUAGACAGGUAAUUCUAAUUGCUAAAAACAAUAUGUCCUGAAUUCUCAGUAGCUUAACACAGUAAGCAUUGAUUUUUCACUCAUGGACAGUCCAGUACAGGUUGAUAGGGUGGUGGGGAGGGUGAAAUCGGUGUGGGGAUAGGCCUCUGAUCUAUAAGACAAUUCAAAAAUCAAGAUUUCUUCCCUCAACUGACCCUGACAUUUUUAAGAAAACUGGAGUCCCAGAUUAUGUUCUUUGCAUCUAGCUGGUAGACAAAGAAAGAGAAGGGUGAGGUAGGCAGUAUAGGAGAUUUCAGGAACCAGGUCUAGAAAUGAGUAAAUCGUUACCACUGAUUCUGACCAUUCUUGAUCUGACCAUUCUUGACCAGAAUGUGGUCACAUGGUCCCACCUAGUUUGGAAAGAUAAUCUUUCUAUGUGCCCAGGAAAAUAGCAAAUGAAGUUUGGUGAUGCACACAUAGAAUGAUCACUACUAUAGUCUGUAUGUACAUACAAGUAUAGAUACAGAGAUAGAUAUGAAAAAUAUAACAACACAGCAAACUUUGAUUUCAUGAAUAUUAUUGCUUGGACAUGGGUAGGUGGAAAUAUUUAUCUAAAUAAUUGAUUUGAAACUAAGUCAAAGAAAGUUUAAGUUAAUAAUAGUGAAGGAAUUAUGCAGAUAUGGCAAAUCACAACUGUACAAAUAUAGGAUACAAAUGUCUCUGACUCUACAAUUUUACAGAGAAUUUGUUCAAGUUUUGUGUAGUUAAAUGUGAACCUGAAUCAUAGAUGAUUCAGCUCAUUUCACUGGCAAUUUCAAUAAUCAGUUAACUAAUUCUUCAAUAAUGCUGCAGAUCACCCUAAAAUCCCCCUAAAAUCACAAUCACCCAAAAACUCAGUAGCUUAAAAUGGUAGUCAUUUAUUCACUUGUCUGCAGAGGAGGUUGGAUGACCUAAUUUGGGCCCAGUGAGCCUUGGCUGCAGGCUGCAGACUGAGUCCAGGUCUGCUCCAUGUGUCUCUCACUUCCUCAGAACCAUAGCUGCUCCAGGACACAGACACAAACCAUGGGAAGAAACAGUAUCUUGUAAGACCUAGCUUCAGAACUGACAUAACAUUGCUUCUACCUGCAGGCCAUCAACCAAAUCAAGUCAAAUGGCUAAACCCAAUAUCAACGGGGUAGGAAAAUACACUCCACUGAAGAACUGGGGAAAAUAGUACGAUCCGCCAAAGGGCCCCACAAAACAUCCACAAGAGGAAAUGAAAGAUCUUGGGGAGAAAAGAAUGGGGGGAUGAGAAUAAAAUUCACACCCUGUUUACACAAUUUUAUUCAUUACCCAAAUUUAGUCUGGUAUCAGUUCCUGUGACCCUGUUGUUUCUUACUACAGUUAAUUGAAUGCUGAACACUGAAAAUAUGAAGAGUCAAAUUAGAUCAAGUAUAACGUGCCCCUUUCCUCUCCUCUUAUAAGGAGCUAGCAAACAGCUUCCUCAAGGUCUCAGUGGGAGCCUGACUAAGAGUGGGGGAAAAAAUUCAUCAUCUGGUGAUGUCUUCAUGGUUUUGGACAGUGCCAAGAAGGAUCUUCAGAUAGGCAACCCAGUAUGGGUCUUUUUCUUUAUGUGGCAUCUCUAUUAGAGAAAGACACACUCUACAAUGGGCCUUUGCAGCUCUUCUCAUCAGGCCCUGGAAUCUAUUUGCUCACAUUCUGAAUCUGGACUAGUCUUGUGAUUUGCUUUGGAUAACAGAAUGUAGGAGAUGUCAUACAAGUUCCAAAGGUUAGCCCAAGAGCCUUGUAAUCUUCCAUUCUCUCUUGGACUCUGUCACCGUUAUAAGACCAAGUGCCAGCAGGCCUUCUGGAGUAUGAGAUACCAUGCAGAAGAGAGCUGUGCUGCCUCUGGAAGGCAACCCUGGAGGGGAGUGGUCCUCUCCCCACCUGGCACCUGACCUCCGAUGCAUGAGACUAGCCCAGAUUAGCAAAACCACUUCAAUCAAUUCGUAGACUUAUGAGGAAGAAUAAAUUGUUCUUUUAAGACACUGCAUUUGGGGGUUGUUGGUAAUGCAGCAGUAUUUACCAAUACAGAUGGUGUGUACUCAGCCCUGUCUUUCCUCUCCCCAGGGCUUGAUGUUGGGCUUGGCCAUGGUGCUUUGGAAGUGGAUGAGGGUUUAAAUGUGCUUACAUAGCAGGGCCAGAACUCUGUUGUUCCUUUGGUUUGAGUCCGGGAAUGCAGGCAUGGGGAGCAGACUUGAAACUGACUCAAAACCCAUACUCUAUCCUGGACCGGCCAAGAUCAGGGAAACCACAGCUGACCUGCGGAUUUGCAAGUGUAAGUUAAAAGGUUUGUUACUACACUCCACCGAAAUUUUGGCAUUUUUGUUUAGCAGCACUAUCGCAGCAGAAACCUAAUACGCAGAGUAUUCGUAUAUAAAGUUCUUAUACUUUAGGACACAUAUUACCUUACUCUAUAAACUAGCACCAUCUUUGAACACAUAAAACAAUUGCUCAUUAAUUAUAUCAUAACUGGAUCAUACGAGGAAAUUUUACAAGACAAAGAAUCCUAUUAUGAAUCCUUUUUGUAAGAUGCAGUUCAUGGAGCAACACCUUUAACUUACUGACUUUUGAAUUUAGAUUUUUUAAAGUUUAUUUCUUUAUUUUUUAGUAAGUCUACACCCAAUGGGGAGGUUGAACUCAUGACCCCAAGAUCAAGAGUCACAUGCUCUUCUGACUGAGCCAGUCAGAUGCUCCUGAAUUCAGAUUUCUUGCAUUCAAUGCUAUAUUAAAUUGAAAUUUAUAUGAAGUCUAAAGUAGGGUUCUAGUUCUGAUUCUGCCAACUGAUUUACCAUCCUUCAACAAAUCUAAACACUACUAGCAUUAUCUGAAAACUGCUGCCCUUCAUCUAGCUUAUA
rnacentral:lncRNA from 1 species